rnacentral:rRNA from 1 species
GAUGAACGCUGGCGGCGUGCCUAAUACAUGCAAGUCGAGCGAACUUUUGGGAGCUUGCUCCCAAAAGUUAGCGGCGGACGGGUGAGUAACACGUGGGUAACCUGCCUGUAAGACUGGGAUAACUUCGGGAAACCGGAGCUAAUACCGGAUAACAUUGAAGGCCACAUGGCCUUCAAUUAAAAGGUGGCUUUUAGCUACCACUUACAGAUGGACCCGCGGCGCAUUAGCUAGUUGGUGAGGUAACGGCUCACCAAGGCGACGAUGCGUAGCCGACCUGAGAGGGUGAUCGGCCACACUGGGACUGAGACACGGCCCAGACUCCUACGGGAGGCAGCAGUAGGGAAUCUUCCGCAAUGGACGAAAGUCUGACGGAGCAACGCCGCGUGAGCGAAGAAGGCCUUCGGGUCGUAAAGCUCUGUUGUUAGGGAAGAACAAGUAUCGUUCGAAUAGGGCGGUACCUUGACGGUACCUAACCAGAAAGCCACGGCUAACUACGUG